rnacentral:rRNA from 1 species
UACGAAGGGGGCUAGCGUUGCUCGGAAUCACUGGGCGUAAAGCGCACGUAGGCGGAUUGCUAAGUCAGGGGUGAAAUCCUGGAGCUCAACUCCAGAACUGCCUUUGAUACUGGCAACCUUGAGUCCGGGAGAGGUGAGUGGAAUUCCCAGUGUAGCGGUGAAAUGCGUAGAUAUUGGGAGGAACACCAGUGGCGAAGGCGGCUCACUGGACCGGAACUGACGCUGAGGCGCGAAAGCGUGGGGAGCAAACGGG